GGCCCGCACAAGCGGUGGAGUAUGUGGUUUAAUUCGAUGCAACGCGAAGAACCUUACCAGGGCUUGACAUCCUGCGAACCUCUGGGAAACCGGAGGGUGCCUUCGGGAACGCAGUGACAGGUGGUGCAUGGCUGUCGUCAGCUCGUGUCGUGAGAUGUUGGGUUAAGUCCCGCAACGAGCGCAACCCACGUCUUUAGUUGCCAGCAUUUAGUUGGGCACUCUAGAGAGACCGCCGGUGACAAACCGGAGGAAGUGUGGAUGACGUCAAGUCAUCAUGCCCCUUACGUCCUGGGCUACACACGUACUACAAUGCUACGGACAAAGGGCAGCAAGUUCGCGAGGACAAGCAAAUCCCAUAAACCGUGGCUCAGUUCAGA
rnacentral:rRNA from 1 species